rnacentral:rRNA from 1 species
UACGAAGGUUGCAAGCGUUACUCGGAAUUACUAGGCGUAAAGAGCGCGCAGGCGGCUGGUCAAGUCCGAUGUGAAAGCUCCCGGCUUAACUGGGAAAUUGCAUCGGAAACUGAUCGGCUGGAAGGUGGGAGAGGGUAGCGGAAUUCCCGGUGUAGUGGUGAAAUGCGUAGAUAUCGGGAGGAACACCAGUGGCGAAAGCGGCUACCUGGCCCAUUCUUGACGCUGAGGCGCGAAAGCUAGGGGAGCAAACGGG